GCAAAACUCAAGUGCAAGAAGCUGAGAGUCACAUGGCCCUGUUCAGCUUCUGCUUUCUUUAGCUUGCCCAUGGUGAUGUGAAGAUGAGAAGAAAUAGCAAGGCCCAACCAGUUCUUCAUCUGGAGACAGUUCAACGUUCUGCAAACCAGAUCUUCAGGAAUUUUACUGGGAUAAUUAUCCAAAUAAAUUGCAAGCAUUCUAUCCAAAUGGAGCUCUUUCUGAGAUGAAGAGAAUUCUCAAUGUCAAGAUUUGAACAAGAAGAGAAUGGAAUACACAAUAUGGACAUCCAUAAAAAUUCAUCAGAGAGCAUUUUACUACUGAGCUGCAAAGGUAGGAAAAAUAAAUUUUUUUUGGUUAGAAAAUAUACUUCUUUCAUCUGCGUUUCAAUAAUUUAUUCCCCUUGUUAGAUAUACAUGGAAUUGAUAUUGCUUAUUCUGACUAAGUGAAAAGUGUUAUUUCUACUUACUGCUCAAUUAGAAACAUGUAGUGUUUAAUUGUCAGUUUGAAUUUUUCUUUCAUACUAUUACAGUUUAUAUUUUACUAUAGGCAGAAUUUCCUCUUUAUCCUAAAUUUUGAUAUUCUCCAUAAUUUCAUCGUGCCUUGACAUUGCUGUAUAUAAUUUCUAUACAUCAGGAAGGCAAUUCUGUGUGCAUGUGUGUGUGUAUAUAUAUAGUUAGAAGUUAGAAACUGAAACUCUUUUUUGUCUACCAUCAUUUCAUAUUUUUCUUGCUAUUUCAAACCUAUAAUUUUUAAAGAAACGACUAACGUAAUCAUUCAUAGAAUAUGCUGUCAGUAACUUAACAAUAUAAAUGUUAACAUGGAGGCAUUUAGUUCAGCAUUUGCUUUACUUAAUAGAGUGCAGAAAAUGUGGCCCUUUUCUCAGUUAGGGUGUAUGUGAAGAUAAAUUUAGAAUUUCUAGACUAGUAAAUACUUCUCUGAUAAUAACUUAAUUAUAGCUAUUUCAAACCAAAUUGUUUAAUUGUGGUGAAUCAUAUGUAAAUUGUUCAGAUGUAGGUCAACACCCACGCCCACAUUCUAGCACCUCUUUCCUAAUUCAAGACAACUUUGCAGUGCCUAAAAGAGCUGAACAGUGCAGAUUAGAGACAUAA
rnacentral:lncRNA from 1 species